UCCGCAAAUCAUUUUAUACUUUUCAUUUUCCUUUUAUCUUUUUUCAGCUUGGUUACACUCUCCCUUCAUUUUUGCUUUGGAUUAGGGUUCAGUUCAGGGAAAUUGGUCUCCGUCGUCGCUCAUCGGCAGUCGUCGCUCGUCGGGAGUCAUCGUCGUCGGUCAGUGCUCGUCGUCGGCGACGACAUUCAAUGAAAUCGUCUCUGUCGUGGCUCGUUUGUCGUCGGCCUGUACUCGUCAUCGUCGACCUUCAAGGAAUUUCAACUCAAAUCAAUCCUUAUACCAGGGUGUAAACUAUUUGAAGUAUGACAAUUGUUACAACCUGGUUAUCCUCCUAUGCGUGCUGCUCUCAAUGCAACUGGACGCAAAAUUUUCUACUCACUCUGUGAAUGACACCGCUAUUGAUCGGGUGUGAUGUCAGAAAUUUGACUGCUGAAACACUUGAGAUUUUAAGCAAUGAAGAAGUCAUUGCCAUUAAUCAAGCACAAGUUAGUAGCUGAAGAUGCAGUGUCCUCGUUCAGUGUUGGAGUUGAUAUCCACGACUGUAAACUCUACAUUUUCACUCCAUUUACAGUAUCUCACUCUGCAGAGUAGUAGCUUAUAUUUUAUCCAUUCAUGUUCCAUCUGUAUAGUCCAUUAUGGAUUCGCUGCAUGUUUCUUCUCUUCUCUUCUGUUGCAUUAUUUGUUGGUCACACUCAGACAUGAACGACUUAGAAUAAUUCGACAUCUUGGGUUUACAUUUCAAAUUACAGGAUGGUCCGGUCCCUGCUCAUUCAUCAUGUUUACAUAAUUUUUGUCCUAAAAGUUCCCUUGAAUGGAUUUUAUAUAUUUCAGAAACUAUGAUCGAAGUUUCUAUUAAAACUGUUAUUAAUGAUUUUGUAUUUUAGUUUUCAAUGUGAAUUUCAGUAUAAAAAAGUCUUUCUAUUUUCAACUCUCUAACCCAUGAUUAAAUAUAGUUAUUUUCAAUGUUCCAUAAUUAGAUAAAACAUUCGAAGAACUUUCACUCAAUAAUGCCAAUCCUGAUGAAAGAGUUAUCUUUCUCUUCAACCAAGCACUUCGAGAAAGAAUCAGAAGAGCAACGAAAGGAUCAGUAGUUUUAUCUAUUUGGGUAGCUUUAAACUCUACACUUAGUUUUUAUAUUUAGAACACUAUGUAUUCUCUUUGUUCAACAUCAUGUAUUUUCUUUUUUUAGAUUUACAUUGUAAUUGUUAAUACUUUAUGAAAUCAUCAAUAAAAGUAACUUUGGUUAA